rnacentral:lncRNA from 1 species
GGCAUUCAAAUACAAAUAUAGGGACCCCUGUAGCAGAAAAUGUUAACAUUACCAAUUUCUUUUCUUUCAUAUAGACAGGUUUCAUCUAUGACUGAUAAAUGCAUAAUUUGUGUACAAAAGGAUUCUUCUUCACCUUGUGUUGAAGGUUUUCAUGUUAGACUAGAUUUUCUAACACUUGUAGGGGUACUUUAGUCUUUACCUCUGUAAGCUAAAGAAUAUAUUUUUUUAAUAAUUUUAUCUAAUUUUUGUAG